rfam:TPA: Bos taurus chromosome 11, whole genome shotgun sequence.
CCCCUGGCAGUCUAGUGGUCAGGAUUUAGCACUUCCACUGCCAUGGCCCAGGUUCAAUCCCUGGUCUGGGAA